rnacentral:rRNA from 1 species
CCUACGGGAGGCAGCAGUGAGGAAUAUUGGUCAAUGGACGAGAGUCUGAACCAGCCACGUAGCGUGAAGGAUGACUGCCCUAUGGGUUGUAAACUUCGUUUAUAAGGGAGUAAAACGAGGCACGUGUGCCUUUUUGCAUGUACUUUAUGAAUAAGGAUCGGCUAACUCCGUGCCAGCAGCCGCGGUAAUACGGAGGAUCCGAGCGUUAUCCGGAUUUAUUGGGUUUAAAGGGAGCGUAGGUGGGUUGUUAAGUCAGUUGUGAAAGUUUGCGGCUCAACCGUAAAAUUGCAAUUGAUACUGGCAGUCUUGAGUGCAGUUGAGGUAGGCGGAAUGCGUGGUGUAGCGGUGAAAUGCUGAGAUA